ACCUUGACUUACGCGCGCUUCAGAAGGUAUAAAUAAGGAUGCCUUGGGGGUUGUUCGGUCCUUUCGAGAAAGCAAGCGGCACUGUGUUCGAUUUGCUUCUCAGAGUCCUGUGGACGAUGACUGAGGAGACAAACCAUGCAGGAAACAGCUCUUAGAGCACCCCCUAUCUGGAGCUAGAUUGAUUGGAAAUGAAAGAAAAUUCUGCUCUUAAUCAGCUGCUGUUCUACUGGAUUAAGCUCUUACCUACCUUGUUUUGCAGCAGUUGCUCAGGAUUCCAGAUAAUUUGAUUUGGGGAUUGAAGAGGAGCCUCACCUUACAUUGGCAGUCGACACUUUAUGCUUUGGGGUACUUUACUUGGCAGGGACAGUUGGUGAAGUGGAUGAUAAAUGUUUUUGUAAGCUAAGCCUGGAGGUUUAGAAGCUUGAGCACAUUUGACCCCUUUUUAAAACUGCCCUUAAGAGAAACUCAAGGGGGAACAGUAGGUUUUUAAGCUUAAUUUAAGAGAGAGCAAGUAUGUGGGAGGGGCAGAGGGGGAGAGAAUCCCAAACAGGCUCUACCCUAUCAGCAUGGAGCCUCAACUGAGAUCAUGACCUGAGCAGAAAUCAAGAGUCUGACUGAGCCACCCGGCACCCUGAUCCAUGUGUUUCUGAUGUACUUAUGGAUUACAAUAAAGAUGACUGCAU